UUGUAUGGCCAUAUCACUUUGAAUGCACUAGUUAUUGUCUUAUCACCAAAGUUAAGCAUUGUCAAGCCUAGUUAGUACUUAGAUGGGUAAGGACCCCUAGGUGUUGUAAGCA
rnacentral:rRNA from 1 species